UACGGGGGGGGCAAGCGUUGUUCGGAAUUACUGGGCGUAAAGGGCGCGUAGGCGGCCCUCUUUGUCGCGUGUGAAAGCCCCGGGCUCAACCUGGGAAUGGCGCGCGAAACGGGGGGGCUUGAGUUCGGGAGAGGAGCGUGGAAUUCCCAGUGUAGAGGUGAAAUUCGUAGAUAUUGGGAAGAACACCGGUGGCGAAGGCGGCGCUCUGGACCGAGACUGACGCUGAGGCGCGAAAGCGUGGGGAGCAAACAGG
rnacentral:rRNA from 1 species